rnacentral:rRNA from 1 species
UACGGAGGAUGCGAGCGUUAUCCGGAUUUAUUGGGUUUAAAGGGUGCGCAGGCGGUCUGUUAAGUCAGCGGUCAAAGCCCGGGGCUCAACCCCGUCGUGCCGUUGAAACUGACACCCUUGAGUGAGUGAGAAGUAAGCGGAAUGCGUGGUGUAGCGGUGAAAUGCAUAGAUAUCACGCAGAACCCCGAUUGCGAAGGCAGCAUACCGGCGCCCGACUGACGCUGAUGCUCGAAAGUGUGGGUAUCAAACAGG